GAAAAGCUGGAGCGAGAGAUUGGCAGGUGCCUAGGCUACACUAUCUAUAAUUUAGCCUUGAUUUACGAGUAAAAUAUCAUAUUAUAUUAAGUAGUAUUUUACGUAGAAGAAUAGCGGGGAUGACUUUAUAUUUUAGAGUUUGAAUGUAAUAAAACAGGAAGACUUUAGAUCGUACGUCAACGAUGUGUUACGUUAACUUACCGUUUCCCUCCACCGCUCCCGUGUCGUUACAAUGUGUCGGUGUUUACGUGUCUGGUAGACCCGGGUUUUAACGCUUUGCUUUGUUUGUGUAAAGGUGGCACACACACAGGCUUGCUGACUGACGCCGUGUUAGUUGUUGUUGUUGUCCCCGUGAGACAAGACAUGUCCACGCUCUUCCCCUCGCUCUUCCCCCGGAUAACGGAGUCCCUGUGGUUCAACCUUGACCGACCCUGCGUGGACGAGACCGAGCUGCACCAGCAGGAGCAGCAGCACCAAACCUGGCUGCAGAGCAUUGCUGAGAAAGACAACAACCUGAUGCCCAUUGGGAAACCUAUUUUUGAGGCGGGAUACGAUGAAGAGGAAGAGGAGGACGACGAGGAUGAAGAGGACAGCGAGGAGGACUCGGAAGAUGAAGAAGACAUGCAGGACAUGGACGAGAUGAAUGACUACAACGAGUCACCCGAUGACGGCGAGAUCAAUGAGGUGGACAUGGAGGGAGCAGACCAAGACCAAGACCAAUGGAUGAUUUAAAACAAAUGACAAUUUUUAGUCUCCAUCAAGCCGUCUGGCACUGGAUUUCUACUCCCCACUUAAAACAUGACUGCUGCCCCCUUUUGCCUGUGACACAGAUAUCUAUUUUUAAUUUGUGUAAACAGGAAAAAGAAUGUAGUUGAAUCUAAGCUUGUAUCACGAUGUCCUUCAGAGGGAGUGAAUCCAGCACAAAGUGUCUUGUUUCAAGCUGCAGUUGGCCCGUGAAGGCCCUGGACGUCGUUGGACACCACUCUCAGCCAUCCCGUCCCUGAUGCCUUUGCUGUACUCGAGUGUGGCCCGGUGGACCUUCCACUCAUACAGGCCACUCUUGCGAACGUGCCUGAGGAACUUUGGAGCCCCGGGGAACAGCACGUUGUCGGCCAUGAUCACAGACCCUUUUCCCAGCAGACCAGAGCCCUCCAGCAUCUGUAACACACACACACACACACACACACACACACCGAGGAAGUAUUAUGUAACAGUGGGACGGAUCACAUCUAUUAAGUACAAGUUCAGGUGUAAAGAAACUGGCUUCUGCAGACUCAGAGUACAUAUUAUGUGAAUGUUCUUUCUAGUGAUUUAUUCUAGUCACCUGCAGAUCAGGGAGGUAACAUUUCUUCCAGUGGUCCAUGAAGAUGAAAUCCAGCCUUUCCAAACCAUAGUCAGACCGCAGCCGAGGGAUCACCUCAUCAGAGGGAUUUAUAAUGAGCUCCACCUGGAGAACAUAUCUCAUGAAUAUCUCAAAGGUACAAUACACAUGAAAGAAAAAUGUCCUAGAUUUAUAUGAAAAAAAGGUCAUUUGGGGCUUUUGUCAAAAAGCCUACUGUAGUUGGAGUGCGAUGGAUGUGCAGUGUUUACAUGUUUCUGCUCUCUCACCGUGUCAUCGUCAAACCCUGCCAGGCGGAUGAUUUUCUCAGCGAUGGCAGCAUUCCUCGAGUCCAUCUCGAGGCUGUAGAUCCGGGCGCCCAGGGGCAGAGACCGGGCGAUCCUCACGGUGCUGUACCCGCAGUGGGCACCCAGCUCCAGCACCGUCAGAGGGCUCAGCUCCAUCACCAGCCGGUCCAGGAUCUUCCCUACACACCGAAAAACAUCACGUAAAAUCAUGCUGGUAGACAGACGGUAAACUGUUGCGUAAGGUAGAUGAUCUUCUCACCUUUUUUAGGCCCGAUGUUGCUGAUGAACUCCACUUUGCUGCACCAGACAUCGAAGGCGUCCAGGAUGCUGUCUGGGUCUCCAGGGGUGGCGUGAGUGAGGACGUACUGUGCUUCUCUUUUGAUCCUAACAUGUGAUUUCACUCAUAAAACGACUGAAGCUGCUGCGAAACUAAAUGAGUCCAAGCCAGGACAAGCGCAGGUGCCUCCUUCUUGCAGCCACAAAGCGCUGUGGGCCAUCGCGCCUCCAAUCCCUUCUGCCCUCUGCGCACCUCCCCCUGCCCACCUCAGGAUGCGGCUGCGGGCCGUAGGCACCAGCUGACGGUCCCCUCCCACCACCGACACACUGCCCAGACGCAUCUUAAACGCUGAAACGGAGACAGAACGCUAGUUAACAGGGUAGGUUAAAGAUGACCACUGACCUUUCAACGUCUCCUCGUGCCUGACCUCCUCGGGCGUCCGCCCCUCCUGCUCUCCGGUUGCCGGGAUACAGAGCUGGGUGCCACGCGGGAACCGGGUACAGUUGAACAUCUCCGGCCAGGGGAACCCGAACGCGCUCAUCACGGGCACGCAGCCGUCCCGCACGACCUCGCACAGGCUCCCGCAGGGGCUGACCGGCCCGCUGAGCUCCGGCAGACACACCGGGGCGAAGAGCGAGCACAGGAACUUCUUGGUGUCCCGGUGGCACAGCUUGGAGACGAGGGGCAGCCAGGCCGCCGACUGCUGCUGGGCCUCCCUCAGCGUGUCAUGGCCGAGCAAGUUGGGGAUCCGCAUGUGCCUGUAGCCGAUCCCGUGGCACAGAGACAGGGUGCUCGGGAUGGGUUUACACACCGAGCGCACCGAGGAGCUGAACCCGAGCGACGGCGGCCCGAGCUGGGCAGGAGCCACCGUGUCCGAGGCAUGGCAAACUCCAAACAGCAGAAUAAAGCUGAGCACGGAAACAAACAUUGUGUCUCCCGACAAGAAGCGAGUGAAGUCUGCAAAUCUGCUGCUCCCCCUGCCUGGACUUGACCGGCAUGUAGGUGUAAACAAAGGAGGUGUGGAAACGGGGGGUUAAUGAGAGGGCAGGCGCCUCCCAGUCAUCAUCCCCACCCCAUCAGACUGGUGCCCGCCUCCACGUUUAACAGUGUAUCGCUACUACACACUGUUUGUUUGGGAUUCGUGUUGUGAAGUAGCUUAUAUCAUCUUUUUUGCCUUGUUGCUGUGUAAAGCCAGACUCUAGACUUUGAAAUUACGAAUAAUUAAAAUGAAGAGACGUUAAUAAACUAUAAUGACUGUUGCUUUUGUUUGUUGGCCAUUAAUACAGGACUUUUUGUAUAAGCAGUGGGAAUAAAAAGCUAUUUUGGUGCAUGAAGAGAUUUGAAGAACAUUAUUGUCAGUAUUGUGAAAUUAGGAACUGGAAAUAAAAUGUAACUGUUGUGUGUUAGAG